UUCAUUAAUUACUACAUAUUUUCUACACUCAUAAUAUUUGCCAGCUCGCUAUAUAAUCAACUUAAAUCAGUUAAAUCCAUCAUGCAAUGCAUUUCCUUUCAAUUUUUUGUGAUAAACUAAUAGAUAAUUGACUAAAUAAACAUCCUGCAAAGUUUCAAUAAAAAUUUCCAAGUUUUUCUUACAAUUUCCGUGAUUUUUAUUCAAUUUUUAUCGAUAUCGAUAAUAUCCCGAUAUUUCCAUCGAAAUUUCCGUGUUUUUGGACUACUGAUAUUUCCGAUAUAAUCGAUAUUUUAAACCAUGCUUCUCCUUCUACAUUGGAAACAAUUUGGUGUGCAACGGUGCAUAAAUGAGGUGCAAUUAUAUGCUACUUUUAGAAAGUAAUUUAAGUUUUUUUAGUAUUUACUUGCAUAUCUAUAAAUAAUUGGUUUUAAAAAUAAAUCUAUUAAAAACGUUUCACUAUUUUAAAAAACACUUUUAAACAAAUUCAACAUAAAAAUGAGACGAAUUGCUGUGAAUGUAAAUAAAGUGCAAGUUAACUGAUAUUUAAGAGGGAGAGGGAGGAGAGAAGAACAGGCUUUUCCGUAUGAAAAGCUAAAGUGAGCGAGUCAAAUCUUUCUUGUCGGUAAUCAGCAACAAAGCAUUGUCGCCAAGCAAAAGAUAUAUGACGGUCGAAAAUCCAUUUAAGCUUGCCUAUCGUGGUCAUCAGAUCAGCCUAUUUAGGGUCAUUUUGGGGUUUUUCUUUUUCUUUUUACAGACAAUAUUAUCAGAUCAGCCUAUUUAGGGUCAUUUUGGGGUUUUUCUUUUUCUUUUUACAGACAAUAUUAUCUAUAUUAAGGUGGCAUGGGAGGGGUUAGUAAUAAUAUGAUUCAAAUUUGUCUUUAGUGAGAAUCAAACUACUUCUCAAUUACAAAUAAAGAAAAAUACUAAUAAACCGUAGUAUUAAAUGGCAAAAUUUGAACUUUUGGAUGCGAUGAUUACCUCUAUAUGGUAAUUGAUAGAUCAAGGACUUGAGCAUCCUUUUUCUUUCCUUUUUUCUUGAUGGGAUUUUUCUUUCCUUGUUUUCCUAUCGACCUUGUAAGCUGAAACAUGAUAUGAACAUUACUGCCCUUGAUUCAUCCUCUUUAAAUUCAACGUUUGAAUAAGAUAUUUUGUUCCAACCAAAUGAAAAGAAAGAAAAAACAGCGAAAGAAUAAAGAUGUUUUGUUCUAGAUGGUUGAACUAGUUUCACAUGAGUGCACGUAUAAACAUUUCGAACACCGCCACAUGCGAUUGUUAAUAAUUGUUUGACCACAUGUACAAGAAAAAGUUACGAGUUUAAAUCUUAUGAACGGCAGUUGUUAAUUGCUAUUUAUAUUACUUAGAAAUAAGAUAGAGAGAAAUUCAACUAUUUUUAUGACCCAAAUUUAGGGGUAUAUUCAAUUGGGAUUUUGAGAGAUUUUAAUUGUUUUCAUAAGUUCAAUAGUAUUCAAUCAUGAUUUUAAGUAAUUCUCUAAAAACCUAGGUGUAUUCAAUUAGAAUUUUAAAAGAGUUUAUAACAUUUCAGGUGUAUUCAAUUAAAAUUUGAUUUUAAAGGAUUUUAAAAAGCUAGGGAAUUCGAGAGAAUUGAAGAAAUUUCAAAGUAUAUUUUAAAUUUUCUCAAAUUUCAUAUCUUUCCCUAAGAAUUUGAGGAAAUUCACAUAAAAUUUUACCUAAAAUCUCUAAAAAUUAAUUAACUAUAUCUAAAUUCAUGAAUUUAAAAAUUCAUUGAAAUUCCUCCAAAUUGCAAUUGAAUACACCCUCAAAUCGUAAAUUUUUUAAUGGUGCACUUGGAAUAAAGUAUAUGUUUCCUAAGAAUCUAGUAUGCACAUGAACAACCAGUCUAGAGCAAUUCCUGCCGUUGUUGCAAUUUGACUUUGAUUUGUUCCAAAGUCCAUGACUCCUUUGGUCCAUCACACAAAUUAGGCAGGCAUCAAAAAACCAAAAUUCACGAUGCCUUGUAACACGCAACUUAAUAUUACGGUUUAUAAGUAUUUUUCUUAACUUAUAAGUGAAAAAAUUUAAGUUUGAUUUUUGCUAAAGGCAAAUUUGAACCACACUAUUGCUAGUCCAUUGUGAGGUUUAACCCACUUCUCCACCUCUUUAGUGUAAAUAAUGAAGUUUUCGUAUAUAUACAUGUAUGGCGACCUAUGUUUAUAUUCGUCAAGUCUUUAUUCAAUUAGAUGUUAAUGUAAAUAAAACCAUAACUAUGCAACCAUGUUCCUAAAUUCCUAAUAAUUAACCCCAAAAUAGCAUUUCCAAAUUAUAAGAAAGCCCAUUAUUUGGGGUUUUAGAAAUUAUUAUCAUUAUUAGUGGUAUUCAAUCAGAAUUUAAAUUGUCCUUUUUAAGAGGAAAAAAUUCACACCUUUUUGGAUUUUUUUAUUAGUAUUCCACAAAUUGUUAUAAAAAUUAUUAUUAAAUGAAUGUUGUACUCUUUUAUGAAAUAACUAUUUAAACCCCUUUAAGAUUUUUAAAAAAUAAAAAAUCCAAAUGUUAAAAAAACUUAUAUUUAUCAUGAGGCAAUACAUCAACAUCAAUCUAAGAUAACAACAAUUGUUUAAAAGCAACCAAAUUAGGUGAAGUAAAGCAACCAAAUUAGUUGAGGAAUAAAUUCAAUGUGAAGAAACCCUAAAAUUCCUAAUUGACAAAGAGCGUGGGGUGUGACAGUAGUAUUGAAAUAUGUAAAAUGUAUUAAGAUAAAUUUUAAUCUAAAAAAUAUAU
rnacentral:lncRNA from 1 species